GUGGUACCUCCGCGCCUUUCCCCCUGCGUCCGAGCGUUGUCCCCGCUCCGUCUCCCUCACCGCCACUCAGUCCCCAGGACCCGAAAACCUCCCAAAUCUCGUCCCCCGCCUCCGCCCCAACCUGACCCUCACUCUCUAUCUAAGCUGGGGGCGCAUUCCCGUCGGCCCUCUCCACAGUUUCCUCCUUUUCAAUCCGUCUUUCUCAUUCUUUUUCCUUUUUUUUUCUGAUCACUAUUUCUCUUCGUCCCCUUUUCUCUGACCUGUCAAACCCACGUGUCCAGACAAACCCGCAGUUACUCCGAGCACAAGCUGCAGACUUAGCCCUCGGUUCUGUUGGAAGGUGUCACCGCCCCAGGAAAGACACUUCGCGGCUUCAUGAGAGCCAGAGGUCACUGUGGGUCUGGACCCCUCACAGGCCACCUGACUUCCCUGGAAUACUUUGAGGCCCAUUCAAUUCAACAAGUGUGUUGGGCGGCUGGUGUUUACCAACACCGUGUCAGGGACGGGAGCACACGCAGCCCGAGGCACAGAGCCUGCCCUGAAGAGCGAACAGCUGGGAAGAAAUGAGGGCAGAAUUACUCAAGGACAACCUAAGCAUCCGAUAGAGGCAAAUUAUUAACAACAACAACAACAAAUAUCUACCUCCUGAGGUAGGUACUGUCAUCCCCCUUUUACACUUGGGAAAACUAGGCUAAAAGCAGUUCAGUCGUUUUCCCAAAGCCACAGAGCUAAUAAGGAAUAAAUCCAAAAAAAGCAAAUAGAGCCCAGCUCCAAAAGAGGCUGCACUUUUCCCACAACAUUGUCUUAAAUGCUGUGCCUAGAAGCCUCUGAAGGUCCUGGAUGCUUCAAAAGGAGGUAACAUUUAUCUUAAACUGGAAUCCCACAGUAAAAAGGAAUGUACCAUCAAGUCAGCAUCUGGGGUGUGAAUGC
rnacentral:lncRNA from 1 species